rnacentral:rRNA from 1 species
GGCUCAGAACGAACGCUGGCGGCGUGCCUAACACAUGCAAGUCGAGCGCGAACGACCCCUUCGGGGGACUAGUAGAGCGGCGGACGGGUGAGUAAUACAUGGAUAAUCUCCCUUCGAGCCCGGGAUAACAGCGCGAAAGUGCUGCUAAUACCGGAUAAGACCACGUCACCGAGGUGAUGCGGGAAAAGGUGGCUUUAUUUUCGGAUGAGGCUAUCACUUGAUGAUGAGUCCAUGGCCUAUCAGCUUGUUGGCGAGGUAACGGCUCACCAAGGCGAUGACGGGUAGCUGGUCUGAGAGGACGACCAGCCACACUGGGACUGAGACACGGCCCAGACUCCUACGGGAGGCAGCAGUGGGGAAUAUUGGGCAAUGGGCGAAAGCCUGACCCAGCGACGCCGUGUGGGUGAUGAAGGCCUUCGGGUUGUAAAGCCCUGUUGGGUGGAAAGAAGGGCUUUUGGACGAAUAAUCCAGAAGUCUUGACGGUACCACCAGAGGAAGCACCGGCUAACUCCGUGCCAGCAGCCGCGGUAAUACGGAGGGUGCAAGCGUUGUUCGGAAUUACUGGGCGUAAAGGGCGCGUAGGUGGUUGUGUAAGUCAGAUGUGAAAUCCCGAGGCUCAACUUCGGAACUGCAUCUGAUACUGCAUGACUCGAGUGCAGCAGAGGGAAACGGAAUUCCUGGUGUAGAGGUGAAAUUCGUAGAUAUCAGGAGGAACACCGGUGGCGAAGGCGGUUUCCUGGGCUGACACUGACACUGAGGCGCGAAAGCGUGGGUAGCAAACAGGAUUAGAUACCCUGGUAGUCCACGCCGUAAACGGUGAAUACUGGGUGUGGGAGGUGUAAUGCCUUCUGUGCCGAAGCUAACGCGUUAAGUAUUCCGCCUGGGGAGUA